CCGUAACUAUAACGGUCCUAAGGUAGCGAAAUUCCUUGUCGGGUAAGUUCCGACCCGCACGAAAGGCGUAAUGAUUUGGGCACUGUCUCGACAAUGCACCCGGUGAAAUUGAAAUACCAGUGAAGAUGCUGGUUACCUGCGCCAGGACGGAAAGACCCCAUGGAGCUUUACUCCAGCUUGAUACUGGGAUUCGGUACUGCAUGUACAGGAUAGGUGGGAGACGAAGAGGACAGGACGCCAGUCUUGUCGGAGUCGCUGUUGGGAUACCACCCUUGCAGUACUGGGUUUCUAACCAGCCGCCGUGACCCGGCGGUGGGACAAUGCCAGACGGGGAGUUUGACUGGGGCGGUCGCCUCCGAAAGGGUAUCGGAGGCGCUCAAAGGUUCCCUCAGAAUGGUUGGAAACCAUUUGAAGAGUGCAAAGGCAGAAGGGAGCUUGACUGCGACACCGACGGGUGGAGCAGGUACGAAAGUAGGACUUAGUGAUCCGGUGGCAUAAAGUGGGAUUGCCAUCGCUCAACGGAUAAAAGCUACCCUGGGGAUAACAGGCUUAUCACUCCCAAGAGUUCACAUCGACGGAGUGGUUUGGCACCUCGAUGUCGGCUCAUCGCAUCCUGGGGCUGUAGCAGGUCCCAAGGGUUGGGCUGUUCGCCCAUUAAAGCGGUACGCGAGCUGGGUUCAGAACGUCGUGAGACAGUUCGGUCCCUAUCCGGCGCGGGCGGAGGAUAUUUGAGAGGAGCUGUCCUUAGUACGAGAGGACCGGGAUGGACGGACCACUGGUGUAUCUGCUGUCGACCAACGGCAUGGCAGAGUAGCCAAGUCCGGAAGGGAUAAACGCUGAAGGCAUCUAAGCGUGAAGCCCCCCUCAAGAUGAGAUAUCCCUCACAUAAGUGAGUAAGAUCCCUUGAAGAGUACAAGGUAGAUAGGGCAGAGGUGGAAGCACGGUAACGUGUGGAGCUGACUGUUACUAAUCGAUCGAGGGCUUGACCAA
rnacentral:rRNA from 1 species